rnacentral:misc_RNA from 1 species
GAUGAAGAACGUAGCGAAAUGCGAUACGUAAUGUGAAUUGCGGAAUUCAGUGAAUCAUCGAAUCUUUGAACGCAUAUUGCGCUCUUUGGUAUUCCGAAGAGCAUGCUUGUUUGAGUAUCAGUAAACACCUCAAAGCUUUUGGAUUUUUUAAUCGAAAAGCUUUGGACUUGAGCAAUCCCAACACCAAUCUUUUUGAGAUCGGUGGCGGGUUGCUUGAAAUGCAGGUGCAGCUGGACAUUCUCCUGAGCUAAAAGCAUAUUCAUUUAGUCCCGUCAAACGGAUUAUUACUUUUGCUGCAGCUAACAUAAAGGGAGUUUGACCGUAUUGGCUGACUGAUGCAGGAUUUCACAAGGGUCGGCAACGAUUCUUGUUAAACUCGAUCUCAAAUCAAGUAAGACUACCCGCUGAACUUAAGCAUAUCAAUAAGCGGAGGA